UACGGAGGGGGCUAGCGUUGUUCGGAAUUACUGGGCGUAAAGCGCGCGUAGGCGGCUUUGUAAGUUAGAGGUGAAAGCCCGGAGCUCAACUCCGGAAUUGCCUUUAAGACUGCAUCGCUAGAAUCAUGGAGAGGUGAGUGGAAUUCCGAGUGUAGAGGUGAAAUUCGUAGAUAUUCGGAAGAACACCAGUGGCGAAGGCGACUCACUGGACAUGUAUUGACGCUAAGGUGACGAAAGCGUGGGGAGCAAACAGG
rnacentral:rRNA from 1 species